CCGCCCACCCCUUCAAGUUACCACCUCUCCCCUAUAAUAGGCUUAUGAGCCAAAUCCCUAGUGACACCAACAGACAUUGAAAGCACAAGUUGCUCCAUUUUCCCAAAAGUCAUUUUCUUCAUGAAAAAUUAUAAAAUAGUAUAAUCAACAUAUCAACAAUAAAUUAAGUCUAAUAAAGUUAUUUUAUGUAAAAAAAAAAACAAAAACAUCGCACCCGACGUCCGAGUGUUUUGAUUUUGAUGUUAGGUUACGCCUUGUCAAACACCGGCAUCGGAGAAAAAUCUUGUAGUUAAAAUCAUAUAUGUUUCAACCAAAUGAGGGCAUAGAGCCACAUCUCGAAGGGCCUCGCGUUCUCGAUUUGCAUUCGACGUGUGUCGGCACACGCCCA
rnacentral:lncRNA from 1 species